rnacentral:rRNA from 1 species
UGGGGAAUCUUGGACAAUGGGCGCAAGCCUGAUCCAGCCAUGCCGCGUGAGUGAUGAAGGCCUUAGGGUUGUAAAGCUCUUUUGCCGGGGACGAUAAUGACGGUACCCGGAGAAUAAGUCCCGGCUAACUUCGUGCCAGCAGCCGCGGUAAUACGAAGGGGACUAGCGUUGUUCGGAAUCACUGGGCGUAAAGCGCACGUAGGCGGAUUUGUAAGUCAGGGGUGAAAUCCCGGGGCUCAACCUCGGAACUGCCUUUGAUACUGCGGAUCUCGAGUCCGAUAGAGGUGAGUGGAAUUCCUAGUGUAGAGGUGAAAUUCGUAGAUAUUAGGAAGAACACCGGUGGCGAAGGCGGCUCACUGGAUCGGUACUGACGCUGAGGUGCGAAAGCGUGGGGAGCAAACAGGAUUAGAUACCCUCGUAGUCCCUGAGCGGGCUGGCAAGGCGCAU